rnacentral:rRNA from 1 species
GACGAACGCUGGCGGCGUGCCUAAUACAUGCGAGUAGAACGCACAGUUUAUACCGUAGCUUGCUCCACCAUAAACUGUGAGUUGCGAACGGGUGAGUAACGCGUAGGUAACCUGCCUGGUAGCGGGGGAUAACUAUUGGAAACGAUAGCUAAUACCGCAUAAUAUUGAUUAUUGCAUGAUAAUUGAUUGAAAGAUGCUAUUGCAUCACUACCAGCUGGACCUGCGUUGUAUUAGCUAGUAGGUGAGGUAACGGCUCACCUAGGCGACGAUACAUAGCCGACCUGAGAGGGUGAUCGGCCACCCUGGGACUGAGACACGGCCCAGACUCCUACGGGAGGGAGCAGUAGGGAAUCUUCGGCAAUGGACGAAAGUCUGACCGAGCAACGCCGCGUGAGUGAAGAAGGUUUUCGGAUCGUAAAGCUCUGUUGUAAGGGAAGAACGGGUGUGGGAGUGGAAAGUUCACACUGUGACGGUAUCUUACCAGAAAGGGACGGCUAACUACGUG